rnacentral:tRNA from 1 species
CAGCCUAUAGUGUAGCUGGUUAACACACGAGUCUGUGGCACUCGAGACGCAGGGUUCAAAUCCCUCUGGGCUGA